rnacentral:rRNA from 1 species
CAGUAGCCGCGGUAAUACGAAGGGGGCUAGCGUUGUUCGGAAUUACUGGGCGUAAAGCGCACGUAGGCGGACAUUUAAGUCAGGGGUGAAAUCCCGGGGCUCAACCUCGGAACUGCCUUUGAUACUGGGUGUCUUGAGUGUGGAAGAGGUAAGUGGAAUUGCGAGUGUAGAGGUGAAAUUCGUAGAUAUUCGCAGGAACACCAGUGGCGAAGGCGGCUAACUGGUCCAUAACUGACGCUGAGGUGCGAAAGCGUGGGGAGCAAACAGGAUUAGAUACCCCCGUAGUCCCUGUCUCUUAUAC